AGCACAGUAUGGCCGUCACUGUUUCAAAUUCCAAGUCAUUGUCCUUUUCAUCAUCCUAUGGAUCAACAACACCAAAUCCAAUUACCUUCUUUUCUUAAUGGCAUUCGAGUUUUGGUCUCCAACCCAAAACUCGUCAUCAUCGUCAUCAUGCUCCUCAAUUAACCAGAUCCAUCCAUCUCUGAAACCCUAAAAUCUCUCCCGAAAUGCCAUGCCCCCCAAAGACAUGGUCUUUGCCAGAAUCGCAUCAUUCCCCAACAGCCUCCGCAUCUCCUCCUCCCUCCAGGAUCUCUCCUCCUACCGCCACCUCGCCACCGCCGCCGCCGCACCCCAACCCAACACAACCUCCUCACGCAAAAAAUGCCUCAGAUUCUCACUCUACCUCGCUUCCUUACUCUUCCUAACCUACCUCUUCUUCCUCCUCUAUUCCUACUGGAACCACGGUUCCGGCAACUACUACGUUGUCCUGGAUUGCGGCAGCACCAGCACGCGCGUCCACGUCUACCACGCCUCCGUUCGCUUCACGCGCCAUAGCAGUCUCCCAUUACAAGUCGCCUCUCUCAGGAACACCUUGCGCAAGAAGCCUAGUGGCCGCGCCUACGAUCGCAUGGAAACCGAACCUGGUCUCGACAAAUUGGUUCACAAUGUCUCCGGUUUGAGAACCGCUUUGAAACCGUUGCUUCGGUGGGCCAAAAAGCAGAUACCACUGCACUCUCACAAGUCCACUUCGUUGUUCCUUUAUGCCACUGCUGGCGUGAGGAGGCUUCCCUUUGGGGACUCUCAGUGGCUGCUUGAGAAUGCUUGGAAUGUGCUAAAGGACUCUCCUUUUGUGUGUCAGAGGGAUUGGGUUAAGAUCAUCUCUGGCCCUGAGGAGGCUUAUUUUGGCUGGAUUGCUCUUAAUUAUGAUAGUGGCAUUUUGGGGGUUAGGCCUAGGAAGGCUACUUAUGGUGCCCUUGACUUGGGGGGUUCCUCGUUGCAGGUCACGUUUGAGAGUGAUCAGCAGAUGAAUAGUGAGACUAGUUUGUAUGUUAGGAUUGGGUCUGUGAGCCAUCACCUCACUGCGUAUUCGCUCGCGGGGUAUGGACUCAAUGAGGCGUUUGGUAAGUCUGUGGUGUAUCUCUUUAGGAAGGAGUUUGGAUUGGUUGGUGUAGAUGUAGGUAGUAGGAAGGUAGAGUUGAAGCAUCCUUGCUUGCAGGAUGGGUAUAGGGAGGAGUACUUUUGUUCUCGUUGUUCGGGUAAUGCCAAAGGUGGGAAUGGGAAAGAGUUGGGUAGGAAUGGAGGGUUGGGAACUUCAUUAGUGCUUCUUGGUGCUCCUAAUUGGGAGGAAUGUAGUGCGCUUGCGAAGGUUGCUGUGAAUUUCUCUGAAUGGUCUGAUCUUGGUGGUGUGGGGCUUGAUUGUGGUGCGCAGCCUUGCGCUCUGCGUGAAAAUCUGCCUCGCCCGUAUGGGCAUUUUUAUGUGAUUUCUGGAUUUUAUGUGGUGUAUAGGUUUUUCAACUUGACUUCUGAGGCUAUGCUUGAUGAUGUGUUGGCAAAGGGUAAGGAGUUUUGUGGAAAGAGAUGGGAUGUUGCGAAGAAAAGUGUUGCUCCGCAACCCUUUAUUGAGCAGUACUGCUUCAGGGCACCCUACAUUGCCUCUUUGCUGAGGGAGGGUUUGCACAUUAAUGAUAACCAAAUAACUGUUGGGUCUGGAAAUAUCACUUGGACACUUGGGGUUGCCCUUUUGGAAGCUGGAAAGGCAUUUUCCACUAGAUUUGGGUUUCGUGACUUGGAGUUUUUCCAGAUGAAGAUAAAUCCCCUUGUUCUUGUGCCCAUUUUGUUGCUUUCUUUUAUACUCCUUCUUUGUGCUUUAUCAUGUAUUGGCAAUUGGAUGCCAAGGUUUUUCCGGAGGCCAUUUCUUCCCAUUUCCAGGCAUAACAGUGUUUCUGGUGCUUCUGUCCUUAAUAUACCAUCUCCUUUUCGGUUCCAGCGAUGGAGUCCAAUUAACUCUGGGGAUGGAAGAUUAAAGAUGCCACUCAGCCCAACAGUUGCAGGUUCACAACAUAGCCCGUUUGGUCUAGGGCAUGGGCUUGAUGACAACAGUGGUGGCAUCCAGCUUAUGGAGUCUUCAUUGUACCCAUCAACUAGUAAUGUCUCACAUAGUUAUUCCUCAAACAGUUUAGGACAAAUGCGUCUACAGAGUAGGAGAUCACAGUCUCGAGAAGACCUGAAUUCCUCAUUGGCUGAAGCUCAUCUGGUGAAGGUUUAGGGCAUCAUCUUCUCAAAACAUUGAGGUUUUUGUCAUGGAGAUGAUUGUAGCUAAAGGUGCAGCCAGAUCAAUUGAUAAUUUGCAUCUCCACAAGAUCACUUCUAAACUGGAUUCCUCCGCGAGUUGCAUAACAUAAAUGAGCACUCUUAUUCUAGGUAUCGGCUCAUCUAUACAAACUCUACGUGGUGGCUUCUUGAUGUCUCCAUGUUCUGCCUCAGCGGUUUAGGUUUUUUGGUGCCCCUAUGCCUUCUGAAGUUAAGUCAAGCAUCAGAGACUAACAAGCACAAGAAAGGAUAUGUUUCCUGAUAUUGCCAUGAUCAAUUAAUUUUGCGACUGUUUCUAUACCAUUCUUUAGACUCAUUAACUAUCAUUACUACAGAGAAUGUCUUUUUGUUUCAUAGGCUUCUGAAAAAUUGACUUCACAAAAAAUAAAGGCUCAUGCUAUUUUCUAGGUGUUUAAACAAGUCGAACCAAACUGAAGGCCGAAGCUCAAGCUUUGCGUGCGUAAAAAAUAUUAUUUUCAAGUUUAGUUCAUUUAUAUAACCCUUAAUUGUAGGUUUGGUUUAGAUUUUGCAAUAGUUUAGUUUUAGUUCUUUUGAUAGAUUUUUGGAUUCGUCCCUACUUAGAAUGGACUCUGUCAUUGAACGAUAAGACUUGGU